UACGUAGGGUGCAAGCGUUAAUCGGAAUUACUGGGCGUAAAGCGUGCGCAGGCGGCUUUGCAAGACAGAUGUGAAAUCCCCGGGCUUAACCCUGGGAACUGCAUUUGUGACUGCAUGGCUGGAGUGCGGCAGAGGGGGAUGGAAUUCCGCGUGUAGCAGUGAAAUGCGUAGAUAUGCGGAGGAACACCGAUGGCGAAGGCAAUCCCCUGGGCCUGCACUGACGCUCAUGCACGAAAGCGUGGGGAGCAAACAGG
rnacentral:rRNA from 1 species